GAUCCCUAGAUACUGCCAUAGAUAUUUGGUACUGCAGGUAUUACCAUCAUGAGACCGUAAGUAUUCAGUUUCCAUGAUACACUGUAACUGUGUAUCUAAUUUUACAGUGUACAUGCAUGGGAAUCUAUGCUAGUAAGAGCUUGCAUGAGCAGAUGUUGCAUGUUGUCCUUGCUACAUCACAUGAUGUACAUUGUCUUCUUGCAAAAACAUUUAUGUGUGCCUUUACUUGCAUAAACUUUCACAGUCUAACCUCCUAUCCGACUACCAGUUGAUAUCCGAGGAGCGUUGUGUGAAAAAACCACCCCCUCUCUAACCCUCGGAGAGUGGGAGGGGUCAGAUCAGAGACCGCCACCACCCCAUAGCUGGUCAGUUACAAGGACCUGAAGGUGUCACGUGACCUGUCGAACUUUUUAGAGUUAGCCUGGAUGAACCCAAGUAUCUCGUGAUCGUAAGUCAACCAACAUCUAUCUUGAGUUAACUAUUCUGUCAAUAUAACGAUCCCCAAUUGAGGUUGUUAUCUUGCACCCCCUCACUACCCAUGUGUAAACAGUUGCUUUCAGUUUGGUGUAUAGUCUCAUUGCUAUUCCAUGCACUUAGCUAUGUGCACAAUGGGUCUUUGCUUUUCUUCAAAGAGUAUAAUAGUCUGUGCAUGAGUGUUGUGUGCUUGCUUUCAAUCUGAUAGAGUGCUUUAGUGUUUACUGUGAACAUUAUACUUGUUGUGUUGCCCUGAGACAAUGUUUGUGCACCUGUGUGACCUACCAUUCAAUAUAAAAUAGCCUAGGGCUGUGAUAGUUUAGGAACUCUAGUAAAUGGUGCAUGUUUCUUUUGUUCCAUUAGUAUUCAGUGGGGCUAUCUCAACAAGCGCCUUCUGCUGGGACUUUAAUGAGACUUUGCGCACAUGCGGUCGAUCCUUUCUCUUUGUUCACUGCUUUAGCUUUUGCAUGUCUGACAAUAUCAAAAUAGUAAUUUAAUAAGUGUAUCUCUUACCUUGAGUCAUAUAGUGUGAAUGUGACCUCUAUAUACUUUAAAUCCAUUGCCUUAGUUUUCAUUAUGAUCUUUACAGACUAUAUUAUACUGUAGAAGAAGCCACUAGAAGAAGCCACUACUGGUUUUGAAACCGUUUAUCAAAUCUCUGCGUUUAUAUACUUUGACCAGAUAUCUUAAUACUUACCACAAAAUGGAGUGGCUGACAAUAAUCUCUUCCGGUCUGUUUUGUGUAGUUAUAUAGGGCAAGGCUAUCAUUCAUUUGCUGUCAAAGGAGCUAGUUCAUACUGGUAUUUGUGUAAGGUUGAUAGUUAUAGCUGUUACGAACAGUUUUCACUGUAAAGAGAAAGUGCUACGUAUUUCUCAUAAGUAUUUCGCUAUAUUCUCUGUAUGCACUGGCCCUGGUUUCUAUAUUUCUUUGGCUCAAGUUUGUUCUUUCCUCAACUGGUAAACCCAACGAGACAUUCCUGGUUCGACCCAAGGGUAAUGUGGAGGACUCCUCAACUAUGCCUUGCAUGUCACAUAGAUGGAGGCAGGUCCAAGAGGAUCCCCGUGUACAGAGACCCUGCUGGAGGGUACGGAUUUGCAUCACAAUUUGAAUUUGACUCUCUGCUCAGUUUAGUUCUGUACGAUGCCACCAACACGAUGGAGAAACACCUAAACUGGAGACAAUGCUUAGAUACCUUGCAUUCCAUGUGGACAGGGGCCGUUAGUAACUGAACUAGCAGCUGUACAGUA